rnacentral:rRNA from 1 species
AUUGAACGCUGGCGGCAGGCCUAACACAUGCAAGUCGAGCGAGCGGCGGACGGGUGAGUAAUGCCUGGGAAUUGCCCAGUCGAGGGGGAUAACAGUUGGAAACGACUGCUAAUACCGCAUCAGAUUGGAUUGCCCAGGUGGGAUUAGCUAGUUGGUGAGGUAAUGGCUCACCAAGGCGACGAUCCCUAGCUGGUCUGAGAGGAUGAUCAGCCACACGGGAACUGAGACACGGUCCAGACUCCUCCGGGAGUCAGCAGUGGGGAAUAGUUCACAAUGGGGGAAACGCUGAUGCAGCCAAGCCGCGGGUGUGAAGAAGGCUUUCGGGUUGUAAAGCACUUUCAGCGAUGAGGCGUUACGCGCAGAAGAAGCACCGGCUAACUCCGUGCCAGCAGCCGCGGUAAUAC